GGUAGGGGUGGUGGGGGUGCUGAUGGUAGCGGCGCCUGGGGCCCUGUGCCCGGAGCUCUGGUAGGGGGCCGCGGGGGAUGGGCUGGGGGCGUUGGCAUGUACUUUGUUAGAGAUGGCGGGAGGGGAAGGGUCCCAGUGCUCGGGCCGCUGCAGCGGCCCUCCAUCCCACCCCCAGCUCCUGAGGCCGCGCAGCCUCCGGCGUCCCCCUUUACGAACCCCAGGAGCUAGAGAGGCAGGAGAGGUGUUGGGGCAGGGGCUCCGCCAGGCCAGAGGAAGGGGGGGCUGCGUGGUUUCAGCCCCCGAGAGGGGAGGGGCGACGAUUCCUUUCCGCCGAGCUAAAGGGGUUUAAAGGGCGGCUCUUAAAGGGGACGCGGGAGGGGCUCCGGCCAGCUGAGCAGCAACCCCCUUUCCCCUUCCCUUCCCCUCCCCCUACCCGUACCCCUACCUACCCUUACUCCCUCUCACCGAUUCCCUCCCACCCCGCCCCGCCCCUCCUCCGCCUAGGCCGGAGGGGAGGAUGCGGAGGGAGGGAACCUUUGCCCCCACAGCAGUCCGGCCGGUUAGGCCUGCUGCCACUCUAAAGGGCUGCAGGGACCCUCGGCGGGGGGCCGGCCAAGACCAGCUGAAAGACCCGGCUUAGCGAGGCUGGAACUGCAUCUAGGGGCCUUGGCCUCUUCCCCUCCCCAGGGGACCAGGAUGGCGUGGAGUGGGCCAGGAGUAUGAGAAGACUUGGGGGAGGAAAGGGUUAAAGGUGGGGCCAGACACACAAACACACCCACCCCUUAGACAUACAUACACACACAUUCACGCAAGUUUCCCUAACACUGUAGCCAGGGCAGCUUUUGGGGAAGGAUUCAGGGUCCUGAGUCCCAACCUCCGCUGCCUGGCUUUGGAACAGCCCCUUCCUUCCUUCUUCCUUCCUUCCCACAAUUCUCAUACUCUGCCAGCACACACAGAGCCUUGACUCAGGGACACACACAUACACACACCUCUGACAUUCCUUUACGUGCCCUACGUGCCACAAACCCACCCAGCCCUCACGUCCACACUGACAACACAGAGCGAUAUACACACAGCUUCAACCAUUCUCAUCCCAGUUCUUCUGUACCAGCACCCCGAAGCCAAGCUCUCUCAUUGAGGUACCAGCUCUGUGACACCCACACUCAUUCAGACACACAAUGCUUCCCCCUACACACUCAAAAUCACACAGAUACACACAUUCAUAAACAGGUCUUCUCCAGAGAAUCCCCGUGUGUGUAUGUGUGUGUGUUCUCUGUCUUCUCUGUGUGUCUCUCUCCUCUGUGUCUUUGUCUCUCUCUCUCUGUCUCUUCUGUCUCUCUCUCCUCAGUCUCUUUGUCUCUCUCUCCUCAGUCUCUUUGUCUUUCUCUCUCUGUCUCUCUCUUUCUCUCUGUCUUUGUCUCUGUCUCUCUGUCUCUGUCUCUUUCUGUCUUUCUCUAGCUUUCUCUCUCUGUCUUUGUCUCUGUUUCUGUCUCUGUCUCUCUUACACACACACACACACACACACACACACACACACACACACACACACACUACACCACAACCCACUCUUUAAGGAGUUGUCAUAUCCCUGUGGAGAAGUAAACCAGUUACCCAGGCGCCAUCACAUCUAAAGCAGGCCUUCAUCACUAACACUGAACCUUCACUUCUGACACUGAGACUCUCCCUAAAACCUAAGGAUCAUUCUCUGGUCCCUGAUGCCAAGUUUCUCUAUCUUCCGCUAAACCCCCUCAUUUCCAACAGAUCCUCUAACCCUGGCACCAUGCUUCCCCAUCUUUCCCUAACAAGCACGGUCUUCAGUCCCUAUCAUUCAACCUGCCGUCUCUGUCAUGAGCCCCUCCCGGACCCUGUGCCUCAAUCCCCAACGUUAAAUCUUCCAUUCUUGGCACUGAAUCCCUUCAUCCCCUGAUCCUGACCCUGGGCUUUCCAUGCCUCCCAUUCCUGCCAUAUCCCCACAUCCUUGACACUGAACUUUCCCAUCCCUGCAGAGAAGGAAUCCCUCCCACCCCAGAUCCUUACAAUGGAUUUCCUGAACCCUGACACUCCCCUCCCGGCCAUCCUUGAAACUUAAUCUUCCCAUCCUUGAUACCUAGACCAGAAUCCCUCAUCACCCUCGAUUACCCCUUCUCUCUUAUCAUUCAGGCUCCCAUCUCUGACAACACUGGCUCUGUCAUUCCAGACACUGAGCCCUCUCUAUCCUCAACGCCAAAUCCUCCAUCCUGACACUGAGCCUUCCUUCACCCUCUCUGACACGGAAUCUCGGUCUCUAAGCCUAAGCCUCCUCUCGGACACUGAGCUUCUGGCCUGCCUCUCUCUGGGUCCUAGACGGAGGCAGAACAUGAGUAAUGAUCACAUUGAGGCUGCCCCUUAGAGCUUCAAGAGUGGAAGGGGAAAGGGAGGGCAUUUCCUUUUCCUGAACUCUGGAAUCCUCUGGGAGGAAAUAGGGUGGAGGGACAGACUGGAGAGGAUGUGAUGCUGGGAGUUUAGGAGAACUGAUACUCUGGGAGGCCCUUGUUGAACCUUUGGGGAAGAGGCCUGGGGGCAAGAAGAACUUGGGAUCAGGAGCAUGGCUACAAGGUAUUUGAGACUGUUGGGGAACGGUGAGAAGGGAAUCAGAGCAAGUCAAGUGGGGGCAUCAGGACUCUGCGUGUUGCUACUGACUUCUAGUAGCCUCUGAGGGCUGGGAUUCCUGCUGACAGCCAUCACCCUGUGGCCUCAGUUUCCAUCUCCCAUCAGGAAGGGAAGCAAGUCUGAGGUCCCUGGUGACUUUAAGGGGAAUGGUUUUAGUGGCUCUGGAGGUGAGACAUAUCUUAUAUAAUGAGCAGGAUUGGCUUUUGCUUCCCUGGAGUUAUGGGGUUGGACAGAAUGACUCCCCACUCCCUACUCUUUCCUACCAGGGGCUACGAAAAAGGAGGAAUAAAGUCUUUAGGGUCAGAGGUCUUGGACCUGAG
ensembl:lncRNA